rnacentral:rRNA from 1 species
AUACGGGGGGAGCAAGCGUUGUUCGGAAUAACUGGGCGUAAAGCGCACGUAGGCGGAAUGUUAAGUUAGAGGUGAAAUCCCAGGGCUCAACCCUGGAACUGCCUUUAAUACUGGCAAUCUAGAGACCGAGAGAGGUGAGUGGAAUUCCGAGUGUAGAGGUGAAAUUCGUAGAUAUUCGGAGGAACACCAGUGGCGAAGGCGGCUCACUGGCUCGGUACUGACGCUGAGGUGCGAAAGCGUGGGGAGCAAACAGGAUUAGAUACCCUAGUAGUCC